rnacentral:rRNA from 1 species
GAUGAACGCUGGCGGUAUGCUUAACACAUGCAAGUCGAACGGACUCUUCGGAGUUAGUGGCGGACGGGUGAGUAACGCGUGAGAAUCUGGCUUUGGGUUCGGGACAACCACUGGAAACGGUGGCUAAUACCGGAUGUGCCGAGAGGUAAAAGAGAAAUUGCCUGAAGAUGAGCUCGCGUCUGAUUAGCUAGUUGGUGAGGUAAAGGCUCACCAAGGCAGCGAUCAGUAGCUGGUCUGAGAUGAUGACCAGCCACACUGGGACUGAGACACGGCCCAGACUCCUACGGGAGGCAGCAGUGGGGAAUUUUCCGCAAUGGGCGAAAGCCUGACGGAGCAAUACCGCGUGAGGGAAGAAGGCUCUUGGGUUGUAAACCUCUUUUCUUAGGGAAGAACAAAAUGACGGUACCUAAGGAAUCAGCAUCGGCUAACUCCGUG